rfam:Bombyx mori DNA, contig: Bm_scaf6_contig5365, strain: p50T/Dazao, build 2, whole genome shotgun sequence.
UUAACUCAAAUUUGUAUGGAGUUGUAACGUUUACCUACGUUUGCCGCUAAGGGCGCUGUUCCAACUGCAUACAAAUUUGAGUUA